rnacentral:rRNA from 1 species
UACGGGGGGAGCAAGCGUUGUUCGGAUUUACUGGGCGUAAAGGGCGCGUAGGCGGCCACCGCAAGUCGACUGUGAAAUCUCCGGGCUUAACCCGGAAAGGUCAGCCGAUACUGCGGGGCUAAAGUGCAGAAGGGGCAACUGGAAUUCUCGGUGUAGCGGUGAAAUGCGUAGAUAUCGAGAGGAACACCUGCGGCGAAGGCGGGUUGCUGGGCUGACACUGACGCUGAUGUGCGAAAGCUAGGGGAGCGAACGGG